AUGUAGUUGUUUUUCUAGACAGGAACAGUUUAAAAUGAAUGCUUUGUGCAUAUUAAAUCAGUAUGGGUAGCUCACACUCUCGCUCGCUUUAAAGAUCAUGAUUUUGAAACGAGGUUCGUUCAGCGACGUUAUCUGAAAUUGCAUUUUAUCUGAAAUACUGGCCCUUGUUCCGUAAUCAGAUGAACUGAAGAAAAGGACUUCCAGUGAAAUGAGCUGUGGAGCUGUUAGUCAUGGUCGACCUGCUGAAGUGAAGCAUGUUCAGAUAACAACGUGAGACAUUUAGAUCUACCAUAAACACCUGACUGGUUUGUUGGCUUUGUUUUUAUUGUAAGUUGUUCAUGGUCGAAUAAAUACAAUUUGUUAAGCAAA